CACAGUGCAUACGGCCGUGGAAAUUAGCCAGAGAGUGAAGAAACUCACAGCUGCUGCAACUGAUCUCAUGGUGGGUAUAUAAGUUUAAAGUAUUUAAUUAAGUAGGAACUUGGGAUUGCAAUAUACGAUUGGUGAUCUGCUUGAUAUUUAUAGAACAUGCAUGGAUGUGAUAGGGAACAUUUUCAAAUCGUCUUUAUCUAGUUGAUUAUUGCUUGUACCGUAAGUAAUUGAUAGUCUGUGAAUUUUGUAGCUCUAGAAGCUUGAAGGCCAUGAAUGAAGAGCAGUAUCAAUUUGACAAUAGCACAGGUGGAGGCGUGGAUACACCAAGGGAAGAUUUUCAAAGACAAGCUCUCCAUCUCAACAAGUUAUAUCGAGAGUUUUUUUUAUAUAUAUUCACAUUUGGG
rnacentral:lncRNA from 1 species